GGUAGCGUGGCCGAGCGGUCCAAGGGACUGGAUUAAGGUUCCAGUCCCUGCGGGGCUUUGGGUUCUAAUCCCACCGCUGCCA
rnacentral:tRNA from 1 species